AGCUUUGCGCAGUGGCAGUAUCGUAGCCAAUGAGGUUUAUCUGAGGCACGAUUAUUGCUAAUUGAAAACUUAUUAUCAUUUCAGGGGAUGGAGGUUGUCUGUGUGUUUUCAGAGUCAUGGAGGGUUUUGGCAAUUAAUUCUUUCUAAGAUCUAAAUGUUGGAAUUGUAACAUUGAG
rnacentral:snRNA from 1 species